UGACUGGGUCAUUCCAGCAUCAUAUCUCAGCACAACAGUGAAGUUAAUCAGAGUGGCAAUUGUUGUCCAUGUUGUGUAUGUUGCAAUGCCAUUCUGAACCUGCAAGAUUAAAGAUGCUAAAUUAAAAAUGCAUAAUGUUUUUCAAAUGGUUUGAGAUGCUAUUAAGUAAAAUUGUAAUGGACUCUCACCAAUAUCCGUAUGCACCAGAGGUCUACUUUGUGAUAUUUGUUUAACCAGGCUCCAUAUUGUUUGAGUCCAUGACAGGAGAAGAUUAUCAGCAAAUAGUUUGUGAAGGCAAUCAAGGCAAGGAUAAUGAAUGCAGCAAUCAUCACCCUUUAAAGAAAUGCAAAGAAGUUUAUGAGGAUUUUGCAAACAGUCAACAAAAACGAGAGAGAAGAAGCCAGAUUAUAUUUAGCAGCAUGUUUACAAUCCAGGUUAUGAAGAAUCCAUAUGGCAACACAGCAGGACUGCAGUACAUUGGACCAUAAACAGUCCUGUGAGCACAAUAUACAUAAUCGUCUCAUUAACUGCAGCAUGUUAUUAUUACAAAAUCACAUUUCAUGCCACUUUAUUUUUUGAUUACCAUUUGAUUCUAGCUCACUGAGUUCUUACCUCCUGCAGGUAGUGGUGAGGAUGUAAACAUGCAUGAGUGACAGCCAAGUGUAGAUGACACCCCAGAUUGAGAAGGUCCAUCCCGAGGGAGUGAUUUCUGUAUUGUAUUUAUCUGAUAUCGCUCCAGUGUUGUUCCGAAAAGGACCUGCAAAUAGGAAAAAAUAAAAUUGUAGCGAUAUAUUUAACCAAAAUGUAAUUUAGCACCUAAUUCAUACUGGAAACAGUAUUAUAUUUAUCUUCUGCACAUACCAGUUCCCGGUCCAGCAAGUGCGUUGAAUAUGAUGCAGAUGAUGAAAAUGACAACAG
rnacentral:lncRNA from 1 species